AAAAAAACACACACAAAUUUUUUUUUUUUUUCUCCAGGUGGCAGUCACUCAAAUGAGAGGACUACAGAAAUCCAUUCCAAGUUAGGCCCAACUCCCUAAAUGUAUUUUUUUAUAGGCAUGUACAGCAUUAAUGGGGUCUGCACAACUGCUCUAUUUAAAUUCCUUUUAACUAUUCCCAUCUCUUUAGACGUUUUUGUGAAAUUUUGUGUGAAAAACUCAGCAAACUUAGCCCUGGAAAUCAGUUUACAAGGUAUUUUUCCAUUAUCAUUUUCUGUUCCUGUUUCCUCAGCUAACCUUUUUUUCCCCAGUAUUUGUACCUCACUUUGUCCAGUCCUUUUGCCAUUGCUGUCUUAGUUACCUUCUGGUUCUGUGUUCAUCAUCUCCUAUCGUCUCUCAGAAGAGAAAAAACACCACACGAUGCAACUGUUCAAUGUUUGCCAACCCCAGUGGAACAUGACAGAUUACAAAGGAAUUUCUUCCAGAGGAUAUCUUCAAAGGAUGUUCACAGAUGCAUUUUAAAAUAAAUUGGGAGAAUGAAACAUGACAUUGGCAGCAGUAAGCACUUCCAUCUCUUGUCUUAGACUCUAUGAGAACCUACAGCCCUGUACACAAAGCAAGAGAUGUGCCCAGAAAUGUAUGCCAAGGAGCUGCCUAGGCAAUGAGAGACUGAGGUAUGUCUUAAGCUCUUUCACUGGGACAGAGAUCCUUAUUUUGUAAGUGGUAAGGAAUUAUGUUCUUCUCUUUGAAAUUCACUUUGUGAAACCAUCCCUUCCGAGUCUGUUAGAUGAGCCAACCUUUCUGAUAAAACCUUUACAGAACUGAAAAAAAUUGCUGAUACAUACAGGCUUUUCUGCACAUCUAGGUAUCUGUAGAUGCAAAGAAAUAGGUAAUAGUACAAAACUGAGGUGACGCUGAUCUGACUGUUUGUAAGACAAGCCUCAUUUCUGGAGAACAGCUGAGCACUGAGGGAUAGGAAGGCUCAAGAUGACUCCUGGCUGCCAGCAUGGAAGAAAGACAAAGAUUAAACAACCAUAUAGCUGUGCUCUGCAUCAUUGUGGGGCCACCUUUAACUCUAGUAUUAGUAAAAUAGUUUUGGGGAUCUCCGUUUUUACUUACUGGGAAAAGACAGAUAGCACUUUGAUAUCUAGAUGUUUCAGUCAGUACAUGUUUGAAUCUUCCUGUUGUUGGAUAUGCUGUUAUGUAUUUGUCUGAAUGAAGCCAAUGCCUAGUUUGUUUGUUUGUUUGUUUGUUUCCCAAUGAAGGGAGACUGGAUGAUAGCAGGCUGCAUGAAACAGGAGCAAUCAUAUUCUUACUAGCUCAUUUUGCUCUCUGGUAGUAUCAAUCUUACGCUUUUGACUUUUUUUUCAGACAAAAUAAGCUUCCACUCCUAGUUACUUGCGUAUCUGUGGGUAUGGACAUAAUCUUGUAGGCAACAUUAGAAACUCAGUAUUCACGAGUGCAUUUACUUCUGCAAAUUCCUGUUCUGCUUAUAAGAAAAGGUCAGGGUAGUUACCACUGUGUAGUAAGUUAACACAUACUGAUUUUUCUUAAUUUGUGUUGAUUUUUUUCAGAUUUCACCCACAGUAAAUAUAAUUUAUUCUUUGCAAGGAGAAAAAAAUUAAGGCUCUGGGAGGUUAAUGAACUUGUUUGUUCACACUGUUCUAAUAGAUUACAUGCCAGAGUAGGAGCCAAAAACAUGAAUUCUGAUUGUGUUCUGAAAUGCACUUGCAAUGUAAGAGUACAGUUCCCUGUGGUUCAUUUUCCCAGACAGACAAUGAACUAUGGAUCUCUUCUUCUGAGGUUAAUUGGAGUCUCUGUACCUUUCCUUAAAUUAAAGAAAUGCCCUGAGGAAAUUGAUGCACCAAAUGUGUCUCAAGAACUUUACAUCCAGUUUAAGGUGGAACUCAGAAGGGAAAGUGGUGAGUGGUGACCACAAGCUGAAUGCAGCAGCAAAACAGUGCAGUGCAUACCAGGUAUGCAGGUAACACGCAUACAUUCCAGGGAAAAGCAAAAUCACUGCCACUCUUAGCAGUUUCUUAUUCCUGAAAAAUCUUGAGGAAAUCCGCAUUUUAUACACAGUACAACUAGGGUACUUUCUAGAGCUGCAGACUGAGUUACUCUGUAAUGAAGUAUUGAUUUUGCAGCUAGAAAGGUCUGAUCAUUUCUGGCUGAGAAAAGAGGACAGACACCUAAACAGUUUGUGCAGUGCAAUAAAGGGAGCAGGUUCCUGCUGCCCCAGCAUUUGCUGGAGUCAACAACUAAUGGGUUGUAUGAAAAAAAGAAGGCUUUUUCUUUUUUUUUUUUUUUUUUUAGGAUGGCUCUGAAACUGGAGGGUUGUUUCAAGCCUAAUUCAUCCUUUUUAAAUCCUACUUGGAUAAACAUUAGCCUAAACUACCAGCAUGUUCUAGUGCAAACCCUGAGAGAAAACGUGGGCCCCAUGAGAAGGUGCUGUUUUUUUCCCCAGGGAUCAGAGAGAAUAAUGCCUGCUGAACCGUGGGAGUCAACUCUGUAACAGAUAGGUUUUGUCUUCUCUGUGGACGUUUUCAAGUUCUAGGUGUUAUCUUGGACAAACAACUGGGGAGCCAGAAGGCCUUAAAUGCUGAGUAGCCACUGUGAGUGAGCAGGGCUCACAGUAGUAGCAGUAUACAGUACUGUUACACAGUACACAUCUUGUGUAAUCUCCUCCUUGCUCUGGCAAACUGCUUUCAUCUGUAUGUUGUUUUCUUGAAAACAUGGAUGAUGGGAAAAGUAGUAAUCUGUCCUGUCAGACCUAAACCUGUAGGUGCAGGACAUGGGCUUCUGUUGCUUUUAGAAUUCCUUCUUUCUUGUAAAGUUAAUUCUGGGUACACAAUCUCCUUGGCAUACAAUACAUGAAAAUAAAACUCAGCUCUUCCUUACACAAGCAGGAGUGCUUUCGGUGUGCUCUUUUGAGAUGGUUUGUGGUUCAUGUUGGGUUCCUGACUUAAUGAUUUCACAAGCAUACUUUCAAAAAAAAAAAAAAGCUGACUUUCUCAAAUGGAAAACUGAAGUGUAGAAAGACUUCCUCCACUACAGUCAUACUGCUUCUGUCAGUAUCAUAAAGCUAACCAUCAGCCUAGUGAGUCAAUGGUUGUAUUUGGAGCUACACCAUAUUGGAACCCCUGCAGGACAAGCAAGGUGAAACGUUCUCCUUUUUCCCAGGGUUUCGGUAUGACACAUUCUAGACAUAUUUCAGAGCCAAACUCAUUAAAAUCAAAACCAACCAACAACAACAACGUUAGGAAAGAUUUGGUUUCCUGAUGGGAAAAGCAAGACUUUCAGUCAAAGAUGAACUCUAAUACCACUGUUAGGGAACGUUGGUGAGGCAUCUCAUCAGAUCUGAUAUAUUCUGUGUAUCUUUGGAAAUUAAGUACUGAAUCAGGUGAGAAGCAAAGCCUUUUAAUAACCUUACAAAUUUGAACCAUCAAGGAAGCACUUUUUCUUAACAUCUCUGGAAAAAGAAACAACAUCCUUUGAAGUGGAGACAGGUUGGAUUUCAGAAUGAAGCAGUUUCACCGAUUUAGACACCUGCUUAAUUAGAGGAUGAAUGCAAAAUCCUUAAACUUUAAAAGGUUUUAUGAGGCAGCACUUCAGAGAAUAAGCAUUCCUCUAGCAUUGGCAAAGAAGAGCUGCUAGCUAUUAUCUUUGGAGAUGGAUCAAAAAUGAGUAUAUUAGCAAAAAGCACUCUACAUAGAUGGUGAGAAGAGCUGUAUGUAAUUCCCAAACCUCAAACAGGAAGCGUUUUGAAAGAAUCAAGGAAAACUGGAAUCAUGGGUGCUUUAGAAACACCACUCAAAUCAUCAUGAAACCAGAAAACAAAAUGAGUAAGAAAAAAACAAACAAAGAAGCAGGUAGGUAGAUAGCAGGAAUACAGUCGUUUAAAGACUUUUAUUUUUAAUAUUUAUUUCAUAAUACUGUUGUGGUUCUAUGGUCUUUACCCAGCCCAUUUUGGGAAUACUAGCAGAACCUCCUAAAUAUUACCAAAACAGGAGAUAAAAGAGAUAAGCAGGAAAAAAAGAGCCUUUCUAACAGAACAAUGAAAAGAAGCUCAUGAGAAGUAGCUCUAACAAAUGGUUGCAAGAGCUAAGGUCUCUGCUCUGUCACUUAAUGAAAUGGUAGAGGCGCAAGCACUAUAAUCAGCAUCUGAUGAUAAUAAUACAAGAUUAAAUUUUUCUCCUUCAAAAGAAGAGAAACUGCAAUGUUCAUAACUGACAAGUGAUGAAAACAACCAAACAGCAGGGAGUUUCCUUUUUCCAGUAUAGUGGCCUAUAUGAAGACAGAAAAGUAAUGCAAUCCGAAUCAAAACCAAGGGCAAGGCUUUUAAUAUGGCACACAGUUAUUGCAAAAGACCUCAGUCUUGCUCAGAUCUGAUUGUUUAUGUAGGAAUGGAAGUUUUGAUGAAAUGAGUCCUACCUGUUGUGUGGAGGUAUGCUGGCAUUUACCCAGGAGACUGCUGCAAGUAUUGUGUCUCUUCAAUAAUAUUAAGAGCUCCCAGAAGAGCAUGUAGGCACCUUUACAUCUCACUGUAUUUAUUACAAGAAGAGCAAGAGAGUAGUUGCAUGCUGAAGAAAUAAAUCAUUCUUUGCCAGAGUAUGGCCAAAGUAUUGACUUCUCUAGCAGUAAUCAAGGUCUAUAUCCUUUAUUCAGAAUGUGACCUGAGCUGAUUAAAAUCUUACUUAAGAUUUUUCCAUCUUUCUAACUUACGAAGAUGUUGAAAAACACUCAGAAAAAAAUACAAAAAUUAUAUUAGAAGACAGCAAUUUCCAGCUGUGGAUUAUUUAUUUUUAUUCCCAUUCAUAGCUCACUGUCCUUUACAAAACACGGUUUCCUUUAACUUUUCAAAGUAACCUUGUUCUUCAAUGUCUUAAAAGAAGAAAUAUCAGACUUCUUUUUUAAAUUGCCUUUAUCAUGUUCAAUGCUGAAAACAAACUAAAGAAAACCGACAAAUUUAUUCAAUAAAAUAUAAAGAUAUAUACUGCAAAUAAAAUGUACUUGGGAAACAGAAAUAAUUAUUAUAGCUUGAAUACAGCUUAGGGCAAAACCAAUAUAUUUUGGAACUUAAAAUACCCAGGAUGCAACUAAUGUAAAAUACAAAUGUAAGCAGCCUAUUAAUUCCUGUAAAAUAAAAUGAACUAAAAAAAGACUAGGAGGCCACAAACUAAUUCUUUAAAAAUCUAAAUGGCAAAGCACGUAUUUUGCUGUAAUAUCUACCCCAGUGUAUUGUAAACAUUCAUACUAUAUUAGUUCUGAUAUUGGAGUACAGUAAAUACAGUAAAUGGUGGUAUGAUGCAAGGUAUAGUGUAUUGACUUCCAUUUUUAUUCCAAUACUGCCCCAUAUGAUAAAAUGGUAUACGAUAAACAUCUCAUAUAUUAUUGCUGCUAUGUUACCCUGCUCUCUCAUUCAACUAUGUAAUUUAGAAAUAGGUUUCAACUGUAUUGUUCAUCCCUAAUGUGAAAGCUCAAAUAUUCCAGUUAAAUUCCUUUUCUCAUUUUUAAUGACGCCACCAGCAAACAUCUAACUGUUUUCUUCACUGCUUUGUGGACUUGUCAACAGUUUUUUGACUAUACAUGAUUUUAAGCCAUAUACUGUAGUUUUCCUGAAACAAACAAACAAAAGAGCCAAAGGGGGAGGAUAUCCUCUUUCACGAGAAUUGGACAGACUGUUAGCACUACAUGUACCAAGAACAACUCCAAUCAGGCGAAUUUGUGUCUCUGUGAAACCCAACAUCCCAUUUUGUUUUUCUUCCAAGUAUGGAUGUUUUGCACAGAGUAAAAUACAAUUUUAAAACAAACAAGAAAACUACCUUCUUUUUGUUCGUACUCAGGAGGAAAUUUCCCUUCUUCUCUGUAGAAUAACAUAAGGUUACAGGAACUCACGAAUUUGUCACCGCUAGCCUGGAAAACGCCAGGUCAUUUUUAUCUGAAAAUUAAUGCAAAAAUAUACAAGCUUCAUCAGAAGCCGAAUAUGGUUGCUUUCCUUCUCCGCUGCUUAAGUUUCUGUGAAAAUAUCAAAGCUGUGAUCUGUUCUCUCCACCAAGUCUCAAUGAGUUCCUGAGGCCAGUUUAAGACCUGGAUCUUACAUUUUAACAUGAAGCAGAAAAAUCAAACUUGAUCUGCCUCAAGGCCUGAUCUAUAUCAACAAACCUCUGAGAAAGACUUUCUCGCCUAAAAGAUACUCACAGUAUGAACAGCUCCUCUUAGCCUCCAGAUCGUACCAGCUGUUUCUCUUGAAAAGGCCCCUGCCAUGCCCCUGGAAAUGGAAAAUGCCAGAAGACUCACGGCAUCCCAUGUGUUAUGGAUUUCCUUUUGAGGCAUGAUGAUACUUAUCUGAUCAAUGGCCCAAGGAAUGUAAAACUGUAAUGCAAAUUUUGUAAUCUCUGCAGUUACUCUUGAUUUUCUGCACCUGCAAAAAGAUGGGAAGGAAUUCACAUUCUUGAGCUAGAUACUAGGCUGGGGUAAAUUUACAUAGCUAAACUGAAAUCAAAGGAGCUGUGCUCAUUUAUAGGAGCUGAGUCUGUUGCAACAUUUUAUACACACAGAGAAAUCUCAAAAUCUUUUCGAUUUCCUAAUUUCAUAUGUGUGGCGGUUGUAAAUAUUUCAUAUUGGCAUUCUUGUUAGAACGCUUCAGAUCUCGUUUUUAGAAAGAUCAAAUGAUCUUAGUCAAUAUACUCUGCAUUUAAAUAGAAAAUUAGUGUUUACCUCAAAGCUUGCUUACAACAUUGAAGCAAUCUGCUUUAAUUUCCACAACUUUAUCCUUGACACUACAGCACAGAAAUGCUUUGGAUAGUCCCUAAUUAAUUAAACUUCCUAGUUGUAUAUGCAUAUACAGAAGUGGGAGAGUUACAUUAGGAUCUAUAUUCUUGAUGUCCCCUUGCUUUCCUUUUCAUUACAGAAUACGCUACAAAUCUGGGAUAGUUUACUAAAUUAUGCAAGAAAGGUAUCUGACUAUUUCCAUUUUAAAUGCAUUAAAAAUGCCAGCACCUAUUCUAGAUGUAAUAGCCUAAGAGCCUAGCCUACCUCGUAAACACGGAAGACAUAUGAAAACAUAUUUUUGUAUUCACCUGGAAAGUAAAUUUUACAACUGUGUAUUUAUAAAGAGUUCAUGAAACUAGCAAUGCAUUUAUUUUUCAAAUGAAAUGUCCAUAGCCUGUAGAAUAAUUCAGACAGGUGCUAAUUAGGUGUACAGAAAGGCCACUGAGGAUAAUUUAUAUAUCUCCCUGCAAAAGAAAAAAUGACUAAAUGUUAAUUGCUUAUAUUAUGCAACAAAUGAUUUUUUAGAAUGGCACUAAAUUAGCUGCAAAUAUUAUAAUUACAAAGUAGUGGGUAAUUUACUAAAGAUUAAUUGAAAUGAUUAAGUGCAAACAGCAUAAUUUUGCAAGGUAAUAUUAAUGCAUUUUGCACAGAAAUGAAAAAAAAACCCUCAGUGGUUGUUACUGGCUAUUUAAUGAAGUACUUUACAUGCCUCAAGAAAGCAUCAGUAGCCUCUCUCUUGUGUGCCCUUCUCUAAAAAGCGUGUUAUAUUUUUGCAGUGAAAAUCAUUGUAGUGUUGAUAAUAAUUAGAAUGUGUAAACCAGCCUAUUAUAAAGACGGACCUGAACUCAAUUGCAUGGGAGUGACACAAAAAUAUUGUUGCACAGUCUGUGUCCAGCAGCCUUUUCUGAAAGCUGUAGCAACUGUGAAUAUUUACUAUAUAAGAACUUAAGCAACUGCAAACACUGUUUAAAUACAUUCCUCAUAACCAGCCAAAGGAGACAUGCUUUAAGCAAGAUUUGAAAAUACUACUACACAACAAUAGUUUAAAUUCAUUUUCCUGAAUUCAGUGCAGCAGUUUCUUGCAUACAGGCUUCAUAUUGUGCUGUACGUAGUGCAAGGGAAUGGGGCUGAAUCUGGAGAGGAGAAAGGGUCUUGAAAAAUUGUUUUGGUCCAGAAUGGGUUUCUUAUUUAGGCUUAUUCUCUAUUUCAAAUGCAGGAUACUUUUCUGAGUUUAUCAUCUAUUACAAUCCUUUGGCCAAUAUUUAUUUUUUGUGGCUUAAUAUUUAAUACAACUCAAAAUGUUGUUCCUUAGAGAGUGACAAUGCAAACCAGAGAACAAUUCCAGACUUCAGGGGCAACAGGAGUUACGACAUUAUCACGUUCUUUUUAACUGAGGCAUGCCGCAGCUGUAACGACAUUGACUGUCACAUCCUUCAGUUUUCAUUAAUGCACAUGCCAUAUGUCAUUAAAAACAACACUGUGAGUAGUGAAAUGCUGUAAAUGAAAAUAAAUGUCUCAAAUGCUUUUGGCUAGUUGUAAUGUGAGCACUUCUGAUAUCAUGCUGGUCAAUGUGCAAGAUACAUUUUAGGAAAGGCUGAGGGAGCUGUCUCUCUUUAGUUUGGAGAAGAGGAGACUGAGGGGUGACCUUAUAAAUGUUUAUAAAUAUAUGAAGAGUGAGUGUCAGGAGGACAGAGACAGGCUCUUCUCGGUGACAUCCAAUGAUAGGACAAGGGGCAAUGGGUGUAAGCUGGAACAUAGGAGGUUCCGCUUAAAUAUGAGACAAAACUUUUUUUACAGUGAGGGUGACAGAGCACUGGAACAGGCUGCCCAGGGGGGUUGUGGAGUCUUCUUCUCUGGAGACAUUCAAAACCCACCUGGAUGUGUUCCUGUGUGACCUGAUCUAGGUGUUCCUGCUCCGGCAGGGGGAUUGGAAUAGAUGAUCUGUCACGGUCCUUUCUAAUCCCUAACAUUAUGUGAUUCUGUGAAUGUCCCCUAUAUAUACAGACCCAUAUGCAGAGAGAUGAAGGAAGAUUGUGCAUCAAUUACUUCCCACUUAAAAAAUCAGCUGAAAUCCCCUUGAAUCCCCACGUUAGUUAGGAAUUUUUGACCGUAAUUUUAGCUAAGCCUUAAAAUCUGCUAAAUAUGAAGAGUCCCAGUCAGCAACAUAAGGACUUCCUGGAUUGUUUUCCUACUCAGUAUCUUACUUUAAUGUGCUUCAGCUCUUUUCACUCGAACAGGUCUUGCUUAAACCUAAUCAUGUGCAGUAUUGAAUAAGAACGGUUCAGUAAGUCUGUGCAAAAAGGCUCAUCUAACGUUAAAAAGAAGACUGCACACAGCAUCAUUAGGACAGUAUUGAGAAGACCCAUACAGCAUAAGAGAGUCAAACUGAAAAAUUAUGAUAUGUGUUACAGUCCUGGUAACAAAAUAAAAUAGGGAUAUAUUAAAUACAGAUCUGAUUUAAGAGAUCAAAGAGAUGUGAAUCUCAUAGCCAGAUACCCAUACCCAGAGCCUAUGAAGUAAAUGCAGCUGGACAUAAUUAUUUGUGUUGCUCUAUCAAGCUCUGACAGAUAUUUAUACCUCAAAAGGUUCAUUACUGCGUGAGAGAUCAGAAUCAACAGUUCUUUACACAAUGACAGAGUACCUGGUUCAGGACAGGACAUAACACUGGCAACAGGUGAGCCAGGAAAAAAAAUCAAGGCCGAAAACAAGUUUUUGUAGAGUACACGAAUUGCAAAGAAAGUGCAAUUCAUAGCAGGUGUCUGUGAAGUUGCCUUAAGAUGCAGUCUAGAUUCUCCUGCUGCUCUUUGCUGCUGCUCUUUGCCUGCCCAGUCCCUAUGCAUAAACAUGGAGAGGUGUAAAAGCUGUUGAAAAUUAGGGGAGAACACUCAGCUCAGGGCCUUGGAAAACACAGCUGGAGGUUGCCAUGCAAUGGCAACACCGCAGCCACAGGUGCUUUUGUCCAUCUGUGUUCACUUUUCUCCCUGAUACUUCCAUAGCCAGGAAGGAGAACAGUGAUACACAAACCACCUGAAGCUCUCACAUGAACCUGGUGUAACAUGUUGCCCAAAGAACAGUGAGACACUAGGAACUGACUGUAUGUCCAUGGCAACUUUGUCUUAUUUGUUAAGAAGCCUACAUCGCUAUCAAGAGAAAAUUAUAGAUUGUUUUUACUUACAAAUGCAUGACAGCAGUUACUUUCCAACGCUGGCAUUCAGAAAUGCUGGCACAGCAAAAUAUUAAAAGAAAGUCAUAGCAAAACAAUAAACAUUCAAAAAGCAGUGGCUAAAUAAAAUUCAUAACUGUUAGGCAAAGCUACAGCAAUGCUCUUAGACUGGUGUGUUAUUUUACGUUGAGAUUACACAGACAAGUUCAAAAGUAUUUUGAAUUUAGACCUUUGAAAUUACUGAGAAUUACAGUCUUUGAUAUCAAACUAAGAUUUUGCCAAAUAGGCAUCUUGAUCAUUCAAAAAGAAAUGCUUCCUGUCUGACACAGGAACUUUAUUUUGCCUUUGCUAGUACACAUUUUUUUUGUUUGAUGGAAAAUACUCUUUUUUAUAUGUAUGUAACUGAUCCUGAGAAAAAUAACAAAUUAUCAGUAAAAAUAUACUGCAUGGCUCUUUACAGCUGCACCAUUUCUGAUGCACAUUAUGAACAGAUUUCAUGCCAGCUUGGCCAGAACUCUUCUUACAGUGUAAAAGUACAUCAGCGUGAAAUGCAUUAAUAGCUGUUGAAUCCUCUGUUCUGCGCCUAUUAAAGUAUUGAGUCCAACAAAAUAAAUUGAUGAAUCUACCUCAUCCCACUGUUUGAAUUUGUUCUAGUUUUGUCACAGCAACUUGAAAAGGGUUGUCUUGUUUAGCUUCAGAGAUGAAUGCUACAUCAUAAAAAUACUAACCAACCCCAAAAUUCAAACACUCAAUUUUUCACAUUUUUUUGAUUAGCUAUAUUAAAGGUUUAGCAACAGCAAAAAGUUCCCUGGGUGAGUUAUUCCAUACACACUUACUUUCAGGGUUUCUGCACUUGCCCUGCUACAGCUAAAUACUAGGAUAGCUGCAUCACUGGUCUGAGCUAAAACCACAGAACUUUUAGAGGAAAGACCUCAAAAAGACAUGCAAGUUCCAGGUAUUCAAGUUCCCACUCUGCAGGUGUGAAGAAGAGAAAAGGCCAAGCUGCCCAGCAGAAAUCUGUUAGCUUCAGAGCUCAACCCUGAAACCACACCUCUAUCCACAGGAAUCCUGAUGGAGACUUAAGUGUGCAAAUGCUGAUGUGUGUGCCCGAAUAACAAUGACAGUAUCUCAGUUGUGAGAAUACUAAAUUAGGGGUCAGGUUCACAAGCAUGAAAAACCUUUGAAUUUCUUCAGUGAAGCCACAGUGAUCAGUAUUACCUGAGGAGCUGGUGAUAUGUUAGCACCAGAGGUACGUUUCUGUGUCCGCACAGAGACCAAACUGUCUAACAGCAGCCGUCACAACUGAUCCUUUAAGACUGCAGGAAUGAUACUGUCCUUUCAUAGUACAAAUGACAUGACUUGCACACCCCCUCAGGUAAAAGUGCGCUUUUCCAAAGGGCACUGAAAAUGAAUACAAGUUGCACUUUUAAUUAUGGUUCAAUAGACUGGUGCAGCUCAAAACUCCGGAAAGUACAGGACAGACAUUUUUGUACCUUUGGGAAAACUGAUUUACAUUGAUAUGAUUUGGAAAACACUAUGUAGUGAUACUAAUAUCCUUUCCAUUUUGAAAAAUCAGAACUCAAAGUAUUUCAUGUUAGCAUAAGUAUCUUCUUCCAUUUUAUCUCCUUGUUCCAACAUGAAAAUUGAAUUAUUUUAGAAAACUUAGCUCUUUUCAUUUUAGAGACAACUCUUUCACAGCUGGAUGGUUCUGGUUACACUUUUAUGUCUGUAAAUAUGAACUCAUAGCCCAAAUUAAAAACAAAACUGAAGCUCCACCUCUGCAAAUAUAUUUAGACAUGUUCACUAAUGCUAUCUGAAAACAUACAAAUAUAGUGAGUCUUUGUCCACUUAUUGUAUACUUGUCUUGUAUUAUUGCCAUUUUAUAAAAUGGCACACAGUAAUACUGGCACAUGGCACCUUUUUUGAAUCAGCAUGUCUUUCAUAAUCAAAGUUGCCAAUAAAAUGCCUGAAGCUGUAAGAUACAGGGUUCUUUCUUCUGAUUGACAAUGGCUGUGUGGCUCCAAGUAUCAAAAGUGGUGUUUUACAAAAAACAAAGGUAAAUGUUUUACAUUAAAUCUUAUAAAACUGUACAUAAUAAUAGUCUACAACAUGAAAAUGGCCAUUAAACUGUUGUAAUAGUUAUGAAAUGUAGUAAGUAUAACAAUUAUAAUGCUUCAUAAAUUUAUCAUUAAUCACUGUAUUCAUACAGUUGUGUUUGUAUAUAUAUAUUCAAUGGCACUGUAAACAUAGUUGUAAAACACACAUUAACUCUUAACCCAUUAGAAGUUAUGAUAGUACUUUUCAUCUGAAAAGUUAAAAUGUAUCAAUGUAUCAUUAAUUUUUAAAAAAAUAGCCUUCUAAUAUAAUGCAUAUUUUGGCAUUUUCUAGGAUAGCAAUCAUGAUGAGACAUUAUAGAGAAUGUUCUAGAUUUGAUUGCUUUACAUUUACAACUAUCAUGAUACAAAAUUUUAAACAUUAAAUGUAAUUAAAUAAUACAGAGCUUAUGAAACAGAUGAUUUGAGAGAUCCACAAUGCGCAAAAUCUAGUUUGUGUGUAAUGGGAGUUCCUGGUAACUUACAUCUCUGGGACCUUUAUGGAAAAUUUAAGUCAUUUUCUCUUUAACAUCAUAUAUGCAAAGUUUGAACUGAAUUAUCAUUUUUUUUUGCUCUGUACAAAACCGCAU